CUUCUCAUAACUCAUGUUCCCAUCCCUGACACUGCCCUCCUCACUUGCAUUACUCACUUGGCUUCCUUUCCGCUUUCCCUCUUCGCUGCCUUCCUCCUUCGCCCUCAGAUCACUGGGCUCCUGCCUCCACGUCUCCAUCCUCCCCCAGCUCAUCUUGCUGGCUCCAGGCUUCUGCUUCGCUCCCCCUUGAUGGGCACCUCCUUAAUGUUAGGAGCCGACUCUCAAAUGAUUAUCUGGGUUGCUGAUUAGCAGUUUGUGAGGACAGAGCUGGCUUGGGCUUUUCAUUAAGGCUCUGAGCAAAUACCACGGCAUUGCACAGUUCCUGGUGCGUUCUGGAAGCUGUCUUGCUGCUUUCCUGCUCGUACCCCCAUGCACCAGCAGAACCAACUCAGGUGCCUGAACACGGAUUGUGGUUCCAGGGGGGCUGACGCUGAGCCGAAACUAGGUCUCUGGACUGCAGCGAUGAGGAAGCCUCGGAGGAGGUCCCGGCAGAACUUGGAGGGGAGACGUUCUCCCUCGCCCUACAGCCUCAAGUGCUCACCGACUCGGGAGACACUGACAUACGCUCAGGCCCAGCGGAUCGUGGAGGUAGAUAUUGAUGGGCGGCUUCAUCGCAUCAGCAUCUACGAUCCCCUAAAAAUCAUCACAGAGGACGAGCUGACUGCCCAGGACAUCACCGAGUGCAACAGCAACAAGGAAAACAGCGAGCAGCCCCUUUUCCCUUCCAAAUCUAAGAAAACACCUUCCAAAGGCAAGAAGAAAGAGUCCUGCUCCAAAUAUGCACCAGGGACAUCUUUACACUUACCCCAGCCCAACUUCCGCGUGGUGGACUCCUUCAGCCAGCCAGAUGCCCCUCCUCUCCCUGCCGCCUACUACCGGUACAUUGAAAAGCCUCCUGAGGACCUCGAUGUAGAGGUGGAGUACGACAUGGAUGAGGAGGAUCUGGCAUGGCUGGAAAUGGUCAAUGAGAAGAGAAGGGAUGAUGGUUAUGGGACAGUUUCUGCUGACACUUUUGAGCUGCUGGUGGAUCGGUUGGAAAAGGAGUCGUACCUCGAGAGCCGGAACAACGGGGGUCAGCAGUCCCUCAUCGAUGAGGAUGCCUUCUGCUGUGUCUGCAUGGAUGAUGAGUGUCACAACAGCAAUGUCAUCCUGUUCUGUGAUAUCUGCAAUCUGGCUGUGCACCAGGAGUGUUAUGGCGUGCCCUAUAUCCCUGAGGGGCAGUGGCUUUGCCGCUGCUGCUUGCAGUCCCCUUCUCGCCCUGUGGAUUGUGUCCUUUGCCCGAACAAAGGUGGAGCCUUCAAGCAGACCAGCGAUGGCCGCUGGGCUCAUGUGGUUUGUGCCAUCUGGAUCCCAGAGGUCUGCUUUGCAAACACUGUGUUCCUGGAGCCCAUUGAAGGGAUAAAUAACAUCCCCCCGGCUAGGUGGAAGCUCACAUGCUAUAUCUGCAAGCAGAAGGGCAUGGGAGCUGCUAUCCAAUGCCACAAGGUGAACUGUUACACUGCCUUCCACGUCACCUGUGCCCAGCGGGCUGGUCUCUUCAUGAAGAUCGAACCCAUGAGGGAGACCAGCAUCAAUGGCACAACAUUCACCGUGCGCAAGACUGCCUAUUGUGAGAGUCAUUCCCCACCUGGGACAGUGAAAAAAGGGUCUCCAGCUGCUAGCAUUGAGAGGCCGGAGGACACUGUGAAGGAGGAGGAAGAGGAGGAAGCCAAUUCUGGCCCUCCCAAAGGGUCUCUGAAAAAGAACCAAGUGAAAUUGAAGCAGAAGAUCAAAAAGGAGCCUGGUGAUGUGACCGAUGGGCAUUUGUCUGUGCCCAUGGUGACAGUCACACAAAUCCCCUCUUACAGGCUGAACAAAAUCUGCAGUGGCCUCUCCUUCCAGAGAAAGAACCAGUUUAUGCAGAGGCUCCACAACUACUGGCUGCUGAAGCGGCAAGCGAGGAACGGGGUGCCCCUAAUCCGGCGCCUGCACUCGCACCUCCAGUCCCAGAGGAACGCAGAGCAGAAGGAGCAGGAUGAGAAGACCAGUGCAGUGAAGGAAGAGCUGAAGUACUGGCAAAAACUGCGGCAUGACUUGGAGAGGGCACGGCUGCUCAUCGAGCUGAUCCGUAAGAGGGAAAAACUCAAACGGGAGCAGGUCAAGGUUCAGCAGGCUGCUAUGGAGCUACAGCUGACCCCUUUCAAUGUACUUCUGCGCACAACACUGGACCUGUUGCAGGAGAAGGAUGCUGCCCAAAUCUUCGCAGAGCCUGUUAACCUGAACGAGGUUCCAGAUUACCUGGAAUUCAUUUCCAACCCAAUGGAUUUUUCCACCAUGAGGCGGAAGCUGGAGUCCCACCUGUACCGAACAUUGGAUGAGUUUGAGGAAGACUUUAACCUUAUAGUUACCAACUGCAUGAGGUAUAAUGCUAAAGACACGAUUUUCCACCGAGCAGCUGUCCGGCUCAGAGACCUUGGAGGAGCGAUAUUGCGUCAUGCACGGCGGCAGGCUGAAAACAUCGGCUUUGACACUGAUGUGGGGAUUCACCUGCCUGAGUCACCCAAAACCGAGGACUUUUACCGCUUUUCUUGGGAGGAUGUGGAUAACAUCCUCCUCCCGGAGAACCGGGCUCACCUCUCCUUGGAGGCCCAGCUGAAGGAGCUGCUGGAGAAGCUAGACAUGGUGAGCACCAUGCGGUCCAGCGGCGCCCGGACACGACGCAUCCGGCUCCUGAGACGGGAGAUCAACUCCAUUCGGCAGAAGCUGGCCCAGCAGCAGAACAAGACCAUACCCAAUGGGGAGCCUGUGCCGCGGGAAGAGGGGACAGAUAAAACAUCAAGGGAAGGGGAUGAGGAAGGGGAGAAAGAUGAUGCCAAGCCCCCGCACCCUCCAACUCUGGAGCCCACAGGACCCGCACCCUCCCUCUCGGAGCUGGAGUCUCUGCAGGACCCUCCAACGCUCAAACCCAUCAGUGAAAGCAAGUCCUUGAAUCAGCUGCAGAAGAGGGUGAUGUCAGACAGGGAACUCUUCGACAAGAAGGCACUGCAGCGGGAGAGCCAAGCCUUCCAGCGCCUGCUCAGCGACAACGGCCUGAACGGACUGGCCUUGCCACCUGCAGACACCCCUGCCAGCCCCCCCUUCAGCGGCGUGGGCCGACGGACAUCUGUCCUUUUUAAAAAAGCUAAGAAUGGGGUGAAGCUGCAAAGGGGCCUGGACUGCUCCCUGGAGAACGGGGAGGACCACAGGCAGAGUGGGCAGCUUUCACCCUCCUGCCCUGACGGGGAGCGACAAGCUCAGAAGCGGCCACAGAGCAGGACCUGCAGUGAGAGUGAUGGAGAGAAGUCGCCCAGGCAGGCAGGACAGAGAGGAGUGACUAACGGCUUUGCAAAGCAUGCAGAAAGCGGCUCUGACUCUGAGUGCAGCUCUGGCCUGGGUGGUGGACUGGUGUUUGAAGCCUGCAGUGGUUUGAUGCCUCCCAAGCGAAGUCGAGGGAAGCCAGCUCUUUCUCGGGUGCCCUUUUUGGAAGGUGUGAAUGGAGACUCUGAUUACAGCAGCUCAGGCAGGACUCUCCUGAUGUCCUUUGAGAGUCAGGCUGAGCUGGAGCCCUUGGAGCUUGUGUGGGCCAAAUGCCGUGGCUAUCCCUCCUACCCUGCCUUGAUAAUCGAUCCCAAGAUGCCACGCGAGGGUUUGCUCCACAAUGGAGUCCCCAUCCCAGUCCCACCCAUGGAUGUGUUGAAGUUGGGGGAGCAGAGGCAGACAGAGGCAGGAGAAAAGCUCUUCCUUGUCCUUUUCUUUGACAACAGGAGAACCUGGCAGUGGCUUCCACGUGACAAAGUCUAUCCCCUCGGCGUGGAUGACACAGUGGACAAGUUAAAGAUGAUGGAAGGACGAAAAACCAGCAUCCGCAAGUCCGUGCAGGUGGCAUACGACCGAGCCAUGAUUCACAUGAGCCGCGUGCGGGGAGAUCAUCCCUUCAUUACGUCCAAUUAUCUGUAAGGGGUUGGGGUGACCGGUCCUCCUUUUCCUCCAGACCCCGCGCUCUCUGCGUCGGCAGAGCGGACCGUCUUGUGCACUGACUGGCCAGGGGAUGCCGUUCCCAGCAGCUGUCAGCACUCCUCGAAGUACCCUGAAAUGUGCCAAAAAGCCUGUCCAGCUUCUUUCUGAAUGUGUCUUGCUGAAGAGCUGGCAGGAGAUGAAAUAUAUAGUCUACAGGGCCAGGAGUAAGGUAGUUAGGAAAAGCUGCCAGGUGACGGGAGCCAAGGUGAGCUGAUGCAGUGACCAGAGCACAGCUCUCGGAUGUUCGGACCUCAUGCACCCUCCCUCGCCCCUGCCUUCCCCGUGCCGCCGGGGUUUUUAAGUCAUCAGCCAGCCCAAGUAAUUCCCAGGAACCCGUCACCACUGUAACUGAACCAGGAUCCUUUACGGAAAUCCCAACUGGACUUUAUUGUGCCAAAUUUACCCUAACCAUCAUUGGCCUUUUCAUUUUUUUAAAUGACAUUGAUUGUCCCAUCACAUUAAACAAAAAAAUCGUAGCUGGGAGUUCACAUUACGAUUUUCCUGCCUACGUACAUAGUGUUUUCAUGUUAGAUUUCUGUCACUGCAUUUAGAAAAGCUUGAGAUUUUUUGGUAACCUUCCCCUCUGCUGCGCACACUUACAUGCAUAGAUGCACAGAGCUUUAAAUACAAAAAGAAAAUUACCUGAUUUUUGUGUGUGUGUGUAUGUCCUAGAAAUUUAUUUGGUAGUUUCACAUUUAAAUUCUGAUUUCUGUGACUGUGCUUGUUCCAGUAACAUUUCAUAUCAUGGUUUAGUACAAUACUGAGUCUAAGCAAAGAUAACUUCCUUUUUUUAAGAAGUAAAACUAAUUUUGGAGGUGUCUAAUGAGCUGGAGCAGCUUUGCAGGCACUGAGGUUGAUCAGGGUUGGAGAGAGAUACAUCUUUUGUGUUGGUUUAUGCACAUUUGGUGUAAGGCUUCUCUUCCUUUCUUCCCUUUUUUCUGUCUCUAACGUUUUCCUCUGGCUCGGUUUGGGUUGAAACCAAGCGCUAACUAGAGCACACGACCAUUUUGCCUUUUCGCCUUCUCCCACACACACAUAUCCUUUCCCUGGUGUGUGGGUCUCCAGCAUUGUCAUCCAUUAAAACCCAAGUAAACCCAGCUCUGCAGAUAAUCCCUGUUUUUUUGGGUUUGCAUUGAAAAAACAGGGACAACUGAUGUUUGGAAACUUGAUGACAAAACCUUUUCUAUUAGCCAAGGACUUUAUGAUUUCUCUGAUCUCUUCUGUUGUGUAUCCCUUUUUGCUUUCCCAUUUUAAGAACCAAAGGUGCAGAGCAAGAUUGUAGAUUGAAUAUCAUCAUUUCGCUUUUUAACUCAAUAUUUUUUUAUUAUUUUAACUUUUUCAUACUGAAGAGAAUGUGGGGUCAAAAUAAUAAUAAUAAUUAAUAAUAAUAAUGAAUAGUGGGGAGUAAUCACUGCCAUUUCUACUUGGUCUACUUUUUUAAAAUACCACUUCUUAUACAUUGGGACAUGGAACCACACUUUAGGGAAGAUUCCUGUAACAUAUAGAGAUGGGGCAUAGGAUUUUGUAAUAAUAAUAAUAAUAAUAAUAAUAAUGCCUAUGGAGUGUGGCUAGGGAAGGAUGUUGUGUAUAUAGUUGUAAAAUAUUGUUCUAAAUUAUUUAGACCUAUUGUCACCAUUCUUGAAGUCCUCAGUUGUGUUGCUGGGUCUUUUAUAUGCACACAGUGUAAUUUAUUUAACGGAACAUACACUUUUCCAGGUGGUAGCUCAGCUGUGGACUUGUGACCUGUGUAUAUGUUUUAAGAUUUUGGGAGUUGGGUUUUUUGGUUUUUGUUUUGUUUUGUUUGUUUUUUAAAUGACAUUUUAGAAUUUGAAUUGGCUAAUAUCCUGCUGUUGCUACGGGACCUAAACGUUACUGUCAGUCUGCUGUAAAGCACAGAUCGCUCUAUUUAUUGUAGAAAGUGAGUUUAUUUGCUUUCUAGAAUUGUUUAUAUCAGAUGGUAUAAGAGAGGUAAUAAGAAAAUCUAUGCUUGUAAAGAAAAAAAAAUGCUAAUUUUACCUACUAUAAUCUGACUGUCUGAGACUAUAUUUUCUCUCUGAGAAAUAAAUGUUCUAAUGUAUAAAAAAAAAAGAAAAAGAGUCCUUCCUUGCUAGUGUUGUCCUGAGUUCCAGGACACUACUUAAUGUGAUGGUGUUUAUUUGUCCCAGUUGUCCUAAACGCAGGCAUAAAGCGGUUGCAAAGAGCAGUGAUAGGGAAGGGACACAUGGAGGGAUGUUUCUGCCUCGAACGAGGUGAGUUUAUUCCCUGUGCAAUGGGUAACAGGGUUGGGUGCUGCAGGAUGGGAUCCCACCGGGGGGUGGCCGGGAGCCCCGAAACGAUGGGAACUGGGGGCUUGAAUCCCAUCUGCUGGUGAUGGCCCUUAGUGGGCCUGAGGGCUGCUGCGAUGCUGGGGCAUGGGCAGUGAGAUGUGCCAGCAGACGGAGACGGGAGCCAAGCGAUGCGGCGAUGGCAGGGCUGGACUCUGCAGCCAGGCUGGUCCCUGGCUCCUGGCUGGGGAGGGUUUCUCAUCUUAGCAGGGCUCUUGCAUUGUCUCUCUUCCCUAAGAUGCAUUUUCCCUCCCUGCACAGGUUCGUGUUGCUGCAGGCGGUGGUGCACCAUCAGGACCCCUUUGCUGCUCGGCCCCUCUGUGUAGAACCCUGGGUUUCGCUGGAAGCUGCUGCUCUCCGAGGAUGCAGGUAUCGUUCCCAUCCACCGCGAGCACAAAGCCCUUCUGGGGCCAGAGGCACAGAUCCACCGCUGUGAUGCAAAACCCUGCAGGAGCCAGGGGAUGCUUUUCCCUUUAUUUCCCCCCAUUCUGUUGUCAGCUCCAGCACCACAAAUUCAGCAGGAGACAUAUACGGUCACCUGCUUUGAGGCCUCAUCCUGGCUCUCACCUCCUUGCCCAGCCUCUCUGCCUGCCUUGCCGGCACAUCCUCUGCCUCCCAGGCUCAGACAAUUGUCAGCCUGAUCCAUGAAAAGCCCCGGUUUCCAAUAAUCUCCCGUCCCCAGCAGCCGCCAUGCUGUAAUGGUCCUUGACCCUCAUCUCCAACUGAUACUGAAUACUGAGUAAUUAAAUUCCUGUUUUCCCCCUAAUAUGUUUGUUCUUUCAGAUGCUUCUGCCUUCAGUUUGAAGGCAGGGCUGCCAUGGGUCUCUGCAGUACCAGUUUGUAAAGCUGGGUUUGCCCUGCCUGGAUCCAGCCCUGGCAGCAGCAUCUGCAGGAGCUGCUGAGAUCCACUGUCCCUCCAGAGCUGGUGCAACAGCAUCUCCUGGGGCUGCCACCAACGGCACCUUUGCCUGAAACCAGUGAUUAAUUUGCAGUUUUGCAAGCAAAACUUUCUGGCAGAGAAGUUUAAUUUCCCCUUGAUUACGUGGUGCAUGUUACUUGGUUUUGUCAAUGCUGCAGGUGCAGCCAUCAGCCCUGCCCCAUCCGUUUCUCUGUGUUUCUUUUCAGAGUUGCAAAAAAAGAAGAAACAAAAUCAAUGAGAGCAAGAAGAUCCCCUGGCUCAGCACGCUGGCCAGAUAAGGACAUAGCUCUUUAUCUGGUGUUGGGGCGAUGCCGAAGGCCAGCAGAUUUUGAUCAAGGGGAGGGGAAGUUCAUUGGAUUUCUGCAACCAUUCCUAAUUUUCUGAAUUUCAUUUUUUUGUCGAGGUGCUGGGUGCAAGGGUGGCAGGUAAUGGCCAUGAACGAGUUAUGUCCCAGAGACAGAGAAGGGUCUUGCUUGUGGACCUGCCCUUCAAAAAGCCUCCCAGAGGAGACCGAAAUGCAAGAGCAGGGUGGUCCGUGCCCCUCUGGCUGCUGCAGCACUGGCUCAGGGGUGCAGGGGGGGUGCAGGGGCCAUGCCCAGCCCUGGGUGCCCACAGCAGAUGUGGGCAGCCCUUGUCCUCGAGGCAAGCCAGGGCCCCUUUGCAGCUAAGGAGGGGAGGGGAGUCUGACCUGGGAAGGAUGGAGAUGGGGAAGAAAGGCAGCAUGGAUGGACAGGACGGGCAGAUAAAGGUGAGGAUGAGGAGGGAGGGGCAGGCGAGGGAGACGGGGGGCUCUGCUUCCAGUGUGUGAUUAGUUUUUCUUUAGCGUUGCUCAACCUUUGAUGGAUGAUGCUCCGCUGUAAAACGCACUGUAAUUACUCAGCGGGACAGCAGGGAUUCAUCAGUGGUGAUCAAUAUUCACAGCAUCUAUCAUGCCUGCGGGCAGCCCGACCCACUGCGCACGCAGGAUCUGGCACUGACCCAUAACCUGAAAUGCCGUGUGUGUCCCUGCAGACCCCCAAUCAUUUGGGGUGAAGCCGUGCAGACCCACAACAGUCUGGGACCAUGCACAGGGCUUGCAAGAAGCUGCUAAUGAUGGUGCAGAUGUUUUUGGCAUGUGUUGUAGUGUGUGCGCAAGCAUACAGGUGCAUGAAAAAGGGAAACGUUAAAAUUUCCAGCUCUCUCCUCUUUCACAACCCGCAUCCCUUUUUCUCUCAACACUUCACAGCUCCUCUCUGGAGCUUGCACCCAAACCCAGGGGCUGGGAAUGGGCAUCUCUUGGCACCUUCCAUGGGAAAAGCACCUUUCAAGAGCCGCACCGUCAGCUGCUGGGCAGCAUCGGGUGUGUGGGAAGUGGGCAAGGAGAUGGCUCCAAAAUGCAGUUACUUACUUUUCCCAAGUGUAGUUUUAGUGCCCUUGAGUCCACAGUCCCUGAUUGAGGGAUGUCCUGAUGUAAUGCUGAUGUUAAACUGACACUGUCAAGUAAUUAAAGUCCUGCAUUUAUUGUAGCCUGGUUUAGGAAAGGGAAAGGGGAUUUUUUUCUAAGCAUGCCUGGAAUUUUUAUUUGCCCUUAUUUACUACCAUCUGUGGAAAUGAUUAUAAGUUUGUUUUGUUUUUUUUUACUGUAGACGUUUUGCAGCGUUUGCAGAUCAGGAGCACUUCAGUGCGUGCCAAGCAGGAGGUGAAGCUGAUGGCAAACGGAGCUUGGGCCUCGCUCCCUGCUGAGAGAAAUACAAAAGGAGUGUGUGGCCGGGCUGGGGAAGGGUUUUGUGAAAAAUCUCCACAACCAGCAGGUGUUUUCCUUAAAGAAAAGCCCAGCUUUUGCUCUGAUCAGAGCCCUUUUGAUAAUGGAAAUAACUAUAUUUUGUUUGCCACUCUUGGUGUGAGCCAGGCGAGCUGGGACGGUGCUGGGGAGAUGCUGGGGUGAAUCCGUUGGGAUUCAGCUGCGUCUCAGUUCUGUUCCUGGCAGGAAACCUCCCCUUGCCCACGGUCCUGACCCAGCAAGGAGAAGCUGAGGCUGUAAAACGUGUAUUGGAAUUCGGUGAGGUUUUCAGCGACGCGCCAGAGUUACAGGGGUAACCAAAAUGGGGGGAUGGACAGACAGACGGACAAAGGAUGGACGGGCAGUGCUAGAAACCAAUGGCUCUCGCAGUGCUCACAUGGAUGGGGAAACUGGAUUUUCUCUCCAGUUUAUUGACUUCAUUCUUGGCACUGUCCUGAUCAACUCCUCUCUUCCCACCCGUAGGUAUUUUCUUAAAAGAAUUCCUCCAGUAAAAAAAAUACAGAACACAAAAAACCCCACCUGGCUCAUUCUAAAAAACACAAUAUUAAAUUUUAUAUCCUCAUUUUCUGGCUAAUCAGAUCCCCCACUGGCUGGAGCAAACAACCGGCCUGUUGUACAAGACAACGAAAAGCGGCACUUUAAUAACAGAGCAGUGAGCAGCUGCCAUUCUCCCCCGCUGCCAUCCAUCAGAGAGUGUUUGAUAGAAAAGAAAUAAAGGAACCAGUAAGACAUUUUCAAUGGAUGGAAAUAAAUGUUAGAGCUUUGCCUGGGGAUUUAUGGAGACCGUUGGCCAGGGACAUGAUCCGAGUUUGCUGGGACAGGCAGCGAUGCAUCCUGAGACCAGUGCAUGGCAAUCUUUUGCCCCGGUUCUUAUUUUGGCUGUGUCAGAUUUCCUGCCCAUCAGCCAUGUUUGAUCAACACUCAUUAGAGCAAAAUUAAUAUCCCCGCACACGGUACGUGUUGCUUGGAGUCCAACUCCACUUUUCAAGGCGAUGGAGCUGUGCAGCCCCACAAGCUGCAGUGCUGUGACCCCGGUGCGAAGCCGUGGAGCCCUGUGAGCUGGGGAACAUCUGCAGCUACAGUACACGCUGGGCAUUUCCACGCGCACGGAGAGCUCCUGCCGUCGGAGAAAAGCCAGGAGGGCUGCCAGGACCACUGAGCUGUCAUGGGAACUUGCAUGGGGAUGCUGGUGAAGAAGUUGCA